UACGUAGGGCGCAAGCGUGGUCCGGAAUUAUUGGGCGUAAAGAGCUCGUAGGCGGUUUGUCGCGUCUGCUGUGAAAACCUAAGGCUCAACCUUGGGCUUGCAGUGGGUACGGGCAGACUAGAGUGCGGUAGGGGUGACUGGAAUUCCUGGUGUAGCGGUGGAAUGCGCAGAUAUCAGGAGGAACACCGAUGGCGAAGGCAGGUCACUGGGCCGCAACUGACACUGAGGAGCGAAAGCAUGGGGAGCGAACAGG
rnacentral:rRNA from 1 species